AGGACGAACGCUGGCGGCGUGCCUAAUACAUGCAAGUCGAACGGUCUUUCUAUGGAAGCUUGCUUCCACUGAGAAGAUAGUGGCGAACGGGUGAGUAACACGUGGGUAACCUGCCCAUAAGAGGGGGAUAACAUCCGGAAACGGGUGCUAAUACCGCAUAGUUUUCUUGAUCGCAUGAUCGGGAAAGGAAAGACGGCCUUUGUGCUGUCGCUUAUGGAUGGACCCGCGGCGUAUUAGUUAGUUGGUGAGGUAACGGCUCACCAAGACGAUGAUACGUAGCCGACCUGAGAGGGUGAUCGGCCACAUUGGGACUGAGACACGGCCCAAACUCCUACGGGAGGCAGCAGUAGGGAAUCUUCCGCAAUGGACGAAAGUCUGACGGAGCAACGCCGCGUGAGUGAAGAAGGUUUUUUCGGAUCGUAAAACUCUGUUGUCAGAGAAGAACAAGUUGGAGAGUAACUGCUCCAGCCUUGACGGUAUCUGACCAGAAAGCCACGGCUAACUACGUGCCAGCAGCUGC
rnacentral:rRNA from 1 species